GGCCCAGGUUGCCCAGAGAAGCUGUGGCUGCCCCUGGAUCCCUGGGAGUGUCCAAGGCCAGGUUGGACGGGGCUUGGAGCAACCUGGGCUAGUGGAAGGUGUCCCUGCCCAUGGCAGGGGUGGAAUGGAUGGGCUUUAAGGUCCCUCCCAACUCAAACCUUCCAUGAUUCCAUGAUUCAGAGGGGGGUGGGAAGUGAUGUCACAGCUCCUGGAGCUCUGCAGUUCUGCAGGACAUGCACUUCACCUGCCCAACAGCACCACCCAUCCCCAGCACCUGCCCUGCCUUGUGCUGCUGCCCAGGGCACAGGGGGACGAGGGAAUGCUGGUGCUCUGCUCCCCGAGCAGUCACCCUCUGCUCUGCCCCUCCUGCCCUGUUCCAGGGCUCCUUGGAUCCCUGGAGGAGCUGGCACUCCAGGCUGUGUGUGGUGAGCCAGGCCCGGCUGCCUGGCCUGGAUGGCUCCUCCCUGGAACAUUUUGGGCUCCUGUGUGCUCGGUGUUCCUGAUAAAUUCUUCCUUUGAUGCACAGAGCAAGAGAGAAGGUCCAGUGUUCCCUACUUGGCUGGAGAAGGUUUAAAUACUGAAUAUGUUUUGCUUUUGAAA